UACGUAGGGAGCAAGCGUUGUCCGGAAUUACUGGGCGUAAAGGGCGCGUAGGUGGGCGUUUAAGUCAGAUGUGAAAACUCCAGGCUCAACCUGGAGACUGCAUUUGAAACUGGAUGUCUUGAGGGCAGGAGAGGAAAGUGGAAUUCCUAGUGUAGCGGUGAAAUGCGUAGAUAUUAGGAGGAACACCAGUGGCGAAGGCGACUUUCUGGACUGUACCUGACACUGAGGCGCGAAAGCGUGGGGAGCGAACGGG
rnacentral:rRNA from 1 species